AAGGGCUGUGCAGCAGAGAGGCUGGUUAGUUUUUCAUUCUCCUGCAGUGGAAGAACAUUGCUCAUCUGCUGUCGGUUUGGCUUUAACAACUCCAAAGACAUGUUGCUUUACCUCUUUUUACUUUUCUUUCACUUUGUAGCCCCGGGUUACAUGAACAGCAUAAAGCCAAAAAGGACAGAAGAACAUGUUGCAGAGGGCAGAAACAUCACCCUGACCUGUAAAUAUGACGGUGCUAUCUACAGUAUCCAGUGGUACCGACAGUACCAGAGAUCCAGACCAGAGUUCCUGCUCUACAUCACAGAGGGAGGAUCUAUUUAUCCAACUCUUUCUGAUUUCUCCGCUCACAUUAACAAAGCAGAGACACGUGUUGAUCUGGAGAUCAACUCCGCUGCAGUGACAGACUCUGCUGUGUACUACUGUGCUCUGCAGCCCACAGUGACAGGAAACAAGUCAACUCUGUACAAAAACCUUUGGCUCCACUACAGCGAGUCACUCACUGUUACACUUCAGCAGCUUGUGAUGAUACUGUGAGGAGUUUUUGUUGUGGGAAUAAAAACAACAGAAACUGAAGCACCAAAGAAAAAACAGACAGAUGGAGCGUGUUGUCAUACAUAAAGGUCACUGAUGAAGAUGAGGUGUUGCGAUAUAUUUAUAUGAGCGAUACCCUAUCAUAAUUAAGUGUAAUGUCAAGUCUUCCUAAUUUUAAGAGCUCAAAUUCCAUUUUUAUGUCAGUUAUUUCUGAGAAAAACUCUCCCACAUAUGCAUAACUUUCAAUGUGCGAAACUAUUUCUAAAAUAAAACCUACAGGUUUUGUUAUUAAUGUAGUAUCUUGAAAAAAAGAUCAUGAAAUGUAACACUGUCGUUUUAUCUACUGUUGUAUGUAGCUCUAUCAUUGACAAAUCAAA